rnacentral:rRNA from 1 species
UACGGGGGGGGCAAGCGUUGUUCGGAUUUACUGGGCGUAAAGGGCGCGUAGGCGGCCACCGCAAGUCGACUGUGAAAUCUCCGGGCUUAACCCGGAACGGUCAGCCGAUACUGCAGGGCUAGAGUGCAGAAGGGGCAACUGGAAUUCUCGGUGUAGCGGUGAAAUGCGUAGAUAUCGAGAGGAACACCAGUGGCGAAGGCGGCUUACUGGUCCGGUUCUGACGCUGAGGCGCGAAAGCGUGGGGAGCAAACAGG